GCAGGGUUGCUGCGGCUGUGAUUCAUCAAAUCAUUCUUGGGUGGAGCCAACUUUUCAUCUUCAGUGUCAUACCUAACGAUGUUUGUCACGAUUCCAUGAAUAGACGUCUCAGCUCUUGGUAGGUUCUCUCUUUCCAGAAUUUCUUGUUGCCCAAUGCAAGACUCGCGCUGUGCAGCAGAGUACAACUCCCGUAGGACUAGAGCUCUAUCUCUGACGAAGCUGUCUUUUCGCUUCUGCAUUGAUAAGAUUUCUCGUUAAAUAUGUGUAAUGUAAAACAAUAGAUCUAAAUGGUGAUAAUCAACACCUUCACAAGAGUAAUAAGGAACGAGUCUAAAAGGUAAACCGAAGAAGGUACCAUACUAUCGAAGAUGGAAAGAAUAACAUGAUUGCUACCCACACAGGUUGCUAUACAAUAUCUGCAGCAAUCCUGAAAUCUCCAUUGAGGAUGCCUUAGAUGGUGGUAUAGGGUUCACUUUUUAGUUCAGAAGAAGCUUUAACUCAGCAAACAUCUGAAUACUGGAACAACCGAUUGAGAGGUUAUAAACGGUUCAGCUAGCAGAUCGGCAAGAUGAAACUGUUUGGACCUAAGAAAGAAAAGGCAAUAUCUCAACUAGAUCUUUGUACAGGGCUUUAACAUUUGGAAGAGUUAUUGAUCAGCAGAAGGUAGAAAUAUGGAAAAGUAAAGUACCGCUAAAAGUACUACUACCUCAGUUCUCGAAUAUUUGUCGCCCGCUAGUUCAUUUUUGAACUAAAACGCGACAAAUAAAAAAGAACGGAUGGAGUACUUUGGAUGGUUGCCCAUGAUAGAAUUCAGUCAGCACAGCAACUUAAGGAGCAGUGGAAAGGGAAAAUACUGUGCAAACUUGUGGGAAGGACCAAUGAGGAAUCAACAGAUCAUAUCCUUUUUUCUUGUCCAAUAGCUAUAUUUGUUUGGUUUUUUUCUUGUCCACUAGCAGUGGAAAGGGGAAAUACUGUGCAAACUUCGUGGCAGCCCUGAUAAAGUGGUGAGAGCUGUCUCACUAACCAUGUCACAGGUUCUGAGCAGUCUCUCCGCAUUUAAUAAGAAGGCUUGCCUUGGUUUAUCCCUUCCUUAGACCCUACUCGGGGCUUGUUCGGUUAUUCCUAUCAUAUGUGGAUUGGAUGAGAUUGGAAAAAAUUAUGAAAGAUUUUGACUUGUUUGGGAUUGAAACCCAUCCAAGCUCACCCAAUCCACAUGGAUUGAGAGCAAAACGAACAGGCCCUCAGGUGGGAGCCUCUGGCACUGGGUCUGGGUCUGCUCCUUUUUAGUGGCACUUUUUAGUUUGAACCGUAUUCCUGUUAGUUGGUCUACUUUCUGGUAUCUCCGCAUAAGUACAUAAUCAACAAAAAAAAUACUUCUAGGCAUAUGAUCAAUCUUUUCUGUGGUGCAGGUAUUAUGUGGGUGCUUUGGAAGAGAAGAAACAACAAGGUGUUCGAGAACAAACUGGUGAAAGACCCCCCAUGUGGUGGUCAGUGGUCUUGAGGGCCAAAGGUCUAUUGCAAGUGGAAAGUGGCGCCAAAGGAGUCAGUGGUGGAACAAGAGCAAAUGUGGCAAAUGAUCGACGAGGAGCUAAUGAAGCAGUGAGACCCACACUGGAGUUCUUGUGUGGAUGGCUGUUUGUCUCAAUGCAGAGAAGUUCAGGGUGUUCGCAGUUUUGCUGGAGUUAGCUUUUGAGUUUCGUUGAUCCUCUUUUCUAGCCUUUUGGUUGGUUGUGAGACUUCAGUCGAGGUGAAGGUUGAGUUGCUCAGCAAGCUUGCUUGCAGCAGAGUGCUUGAACUGUAAACUAGUUUCCCCAGUUGUAAGACUCGGUUAAGCUUUUAAUAAAAGCUGCGCAAUAAUGCCCUUGAGUCUUAAUAUACACCAGAGGGCCACACAACAACAACUAAACAGAAAAGAGUUUCAGGAAUCAGGAGAGAGAAUUUACGGCUUAGGACUAGUUUGGGAACUCCAUUUCUCCAAGGAACUUCCAUUUUUCCAAGGGAAAAUGAACUAAUUUCCCCUCCAUUUCCUAAAAUCCUUUGGAAAAAUGGGGUUGCCAAACUAGCCCUUAGUGUUCAAAAAUCUCGGAUCCCAAUGGUAAGGCUGGUUGCAAGCAGUAACUGCCAUCUAUGCAAGAGCCUUACCAAUUAAGGUAAAUCAUACAUUAUAAUUGCAAUGUCAACUAUGGCCAACGAAAAGUGGGAGUAUCGAGUAGCUAAUCACCUGAAAAUCAACAGGCCAUCCAAUUGAGGAGCUCAAACAGCUGCAACCAUCACUGAAAUUUAAUGUCAACAGCAUGAAAAAUGGUUUGUUCAUCGAUGUUUCCCUACAAAAGUAGACAAUUUGCUCUGUAACUCACAUUUUUCCUCGAACAAGCGAGAGAGUUGUGUAUAUAUUAAUAAGAUAACAGGGGAAGAGCCACACCAAGAGAACUAUAAUAUAAACAAUGCUAGACUAAUAAAUAAAUUGGAAAUUUUCCCUUCUACAUUACCUCUGCAAAGAGAAUGGUUGCUCUUUAAGCACUACAGACUUCAGAUCAGGUCUUUCUGGAAAGAGAAAGCUGCAACCAUCGAUGUUUGUCACGAUUCCAUGAAUAGACGUCUCAGCUCUUGGUAGGUUCUCUCUUUCCAGAAUUUCUUGUUGCCAAUGCAAGACUCGCGCUGUGCAGCAGAGUGCAACUCCCGUAGGACUAGAGCUCUAUCUCUGACGAAGCUGUCUUUUCGCUUCUGCAUUGAUA
rnacentral:lncRNA from 1 species